rnacentral:rRNA from 1 species
GACGAACGCUGGCGGCGUGCUUAACACAUGCAAGUCGUACGGAAAGGCCCUGCUUUUGUGGGGUGCUCGAGUGGCGAACGGGUGAGUAACACGUGAGUAACCUGCCCUUGACUUUGGGAUAACUUCAGGAAACUGGGGCUAAUGCCGGAUAGGAGCUCCUGCUGCAUGGUGGGGGUUGGAAAGUUUCGGCGGUUGGGGAUGGACUCGCGGCUUAUCAGCUUGUUGGUGGGGUAGUGGCUUACCAAGGCUUUGACGGGUAGCCGGCCUGAGAGGGUGACCGGCCACAUUGGGACUGAGAUACGGCCCAGACUCCUACGGGAGGCAGCAGUGGGGAAUAUUGCACAAUGGGCGGAAGCCUGAUGCAGCAACGCCGCGUGCGGGAUGACGGCCUUCGGGUUGUAAACCGCUUUCGCCUGUGACGAAGCGUGAGUGACGGUAAUGAGUAAAGAAGCACCGGCUAACUACGUG